rnacentral:rRNA from 1 species
AGAGUUUGAUCAUGGCUCAGGACGAACGCUGGCGGCGUGCCUAACACAUGCAAGUCGAACGAGAUCCAUGGGAGCUUGCUCCCGGAAGAUCUAGUGGCGAACGGGUGAGUAACACGUGAGAAACCUGCCCUGGAGUGGGGAAUAACUCGGGGAAACUCGAGCUAACACCGCAUACCCUCGGAUGGUCGCAUGGCCGACCGAGGAAAGAUUUAUCGCUCUAGGAGGGUCUCGCGGCCUAUCAGCUAGUUGUGGGGUAACGGCCUACCAAGGCAACGACGGGUAGCUGGUUUGAGAGAACGAUCAGCCACACUGGGACUGAGACACGGCCCAGACUCCUACGGGAGGCAGCAGUGGGGAAUCUUGCGCAAUGGGCGAAAGCCUGACGCAGCAACGCCGCGUGCGGGAUGACGGCCUUCGUGGUUGUAAACCGCUUUCAGCAGGGACGAAAAUGACGGUACCCGCAGAAGAAGCCCCGGCUAACUACGUG